rnacentral:rRNA from 1 species
UAUAAGACUGGGAUAACUUCGGGAAACCGGAGCUAAUACCGGAUAACAUUUAGAACCGCAUGGUUCUAAAGUGAAAGAUGGUUUUGCUAUCACUUAUAGAUGGACCCGCGCCGUAUUAGCUAGUUGGUAAGGUAACGGCUUACCAAGGCGACGAUACGUAGCCGACCUGAGAGGGUGAUCGGCCACACUGGAACUGAGACACGGUCCAGACUCCUACGGGAGGCAGCAGUAGGGAAUCUUCCGCAAUGGGCGAAAGCCUGACGGAGCAACGCCGCGUGAGUGAUGAAGGGUUUCGGCUCGUAAAACUCUGUUAUUAGGGAAGAACAGAUGUGUAAGUAACUGUGCACAUCUUGACGGUACCUAAUCAGAAAGCCACGGCUAACUACGUGCUAGCAGCCGCGGUAAUACGUAGGUGGCAAGCGUUAUCCGGAAUUAUUGGGCGUAAAGCGCGCGUAGGCGGUUUCUUAAGUCUGAUGUGAAAGCCCACGGCUCAACCGUGGAGGGUCAUUGGAAACUGGGAAACUUGAGUGCAGAAGAGGAAAGUGGAAUUCCAUGUGUAGCGGUGAAAUGCGCAGAGAUAUGGAGGAACACCAGUGGCGAAGGCGACUUUCUGGUCUGUAACUGACGCUGAUGUGCGAAAGCGUGGGGAUCAAACAGGAUUAGAUACCCUGGUAGUCCACGCCGUAAACGAUGAGUGCUAAGUGUUAGGGGGUUUCCGCCCCUUAGUGCUGCAGCUAACGCAUUAAGCACUCCGCCUGGGGAGUACGACCGCAAGGUUGAAACUC